UGAUGGUCAAUGGAGUCUUGGCUGGC
rnacentral:piRNA from 1 species